rnacentral:rRNA from 1 species
AACGUAGGUACCGAGCGUUAUCCGGAUUUACUGGGCGUAAAGCGUGUGCAGGCGGUCGUGCAAGUCGGGCAUGAAAGCCCCUGGCUCAACUAGGGGAAGCUGUCCGAUACUGCAGGACUUGAGGGCUCGAGAGGGCGAUGGAAUUCCGCAUGUAGUGGUGAAAUGCGUAGAGAUGCGGAGGAACACCAGUGGCGAAAGCGGUCGCCUGGCGAGCCCCUGACGCUCAGACACGAAAGCUAGGGGAGCGAAC